UACGUAGGGUCCGAGCGUUGUCCGGAAUUAUUGGGCGUAAAGAGCUCGUAGGCGGUCUGUCGCGUCGGCUGUGAAAACACGGGGCUCAACUCCGUGCCUGCAGUCGAUACGGGCAGACUAGAGUUCGGUAGGGGAGACUGGAAUUCCUGGUGUAGCGGUGAAAUGCGUAGAUAUCAUUUGGAACGCCAAUGGUGAAAACAGGUUGCUGGGAGUGUGCUGACGCUGAGACACGAAAGCCAGGGGAGCGAACGGG
rnacentral:rRNA from 1 species